AGGACGAACGCUGGCGGCGUGCUUAACACAUGCAAGUCGAGCGGAAAGGCCCUUCGGGGUACUCGAGCGGCGAACGGGUGAGUAACACGUGAGUAACCUGCCCCUAGCUCUGGGAUAGCUCCGGGAAACUGGGAUUAAUACCAGAUACGACCACUUUAGACAUCUGUCGUGGUGGAAAGGAUUCCGGCUAGGGAUGGGCUCGCGGCCUAUCAGCUUGUUGGUGGGGUAACGCCUACCAAGGCGACGACGGGUA
rnacentral:rRNA from 1 species